UCUCAAAUUUAUACUGUGCAGUUCGCAUCAAUUUCAGGUCUGGUUCCCUCGGAAAUGAAAUUUCUACAGUGCUUGGUGGAGGUCUUGUACCAGGUUCUUUAACUUUAGUCGGUGGUGAUCCUGGUAUCGGGAAAAGUACUCUGUUGUUACAGAUUUCAGCAAUGAUAGCAAAUAAAUGCAGUGAUGAUGAAACACCUCCAGUUGUAUAUGUGUCUGGUGAAGAGAGCCUUGAGCAAAUUUGUGCUAGAGCCGAUCGCCUUGGGAUUAAGUCCAAUAUUUAUUUAUAUUCAAGUACUGAUAUUGAGGUACAUUAUCUUGAAUUUUGCUGAUUAGUUUUUCUUCCAGUAUUUUAUUCAUACAUGAGUUUUGAUGUCCCAACACUGUCACGGAGUCUGUUUCACGGAAGAUAUUAUUCUUAAUUGGCCAUAGUAGUACAGUGUGUAAUGAAGCCUCAAUAACAGUCCUCUUUUUUUGUUUGACUUCAUAGUUAUCGAUAAUGCACUUCUUCUGUCCAGAAUAGCCAUAGGCUGCUGCAAAGUUUUAAUACCAGUGCAUUUUUUUAAUAGUGGCUGUAGCUCCAGUGAGACUAGAGUGAUCGGAAACCCUUUUUUUUUUCCCUCAAAAGGGGGGACGGGGGUAAAAUUAUUCCCCCUCCUUUUAGAAUGUUAAAAAAUCCCUAAUUGUA